UCUCCUUAGAAUCCCGCGGGGUUCGGAGAAGGAUCUGGCGGCCAAGACGGCUCGAUCCCUGGCUGCGCUAUUUAACGCCUAGAUUUGGGCUGAUGACCGCACGGUCAGUGCGAGCUGGUCCCCAGCUGGUCCGUUCGCCCCAGGCGCGGUAACACAGCCAGAUGGUUCGGCCCCUGCGGCCUGCGUGGUUUUCAGUCCCGCGCUCCACCCAACCCCGAUCGCCGAGGCUCCUUCUUUGCUCCCCGCCGCUGAUUUACAUGCUAAUUGUGUCUGGGAAAAGUUCUUUAAUUGGCAGAAUUAGGCAGAGCAAACUAAUUGUUUCACAGGUUGAACCAAAUUAAUUCCGGGUUUAGCUCCUUCCCUUAGAGAAACGAACAAUUAAGUUGUUUUAUUUGCUUUAUGGAUAUAUUGGAAAUGCCCCACAUCGAGUUUUAGGACAUUGUUUAAAGGGACAUUGUUUUCAAUAUUAAUAUUGCAUGUUUAAUUUGUAGUAACGCUCAGCCAAGAAGCGAGUGAUUAAAAUUACCUAAUUUAAAAGUAUAGAAUACGAGAGUUAAAGAAUUGGAGUCUACUUUUUCACAGUGAAGAAAUACCACCCAGAAUCUUCCUGGCAAUUACUAGAUCCUAGUCUCACCAUCCAAGUAGGAGCCGUCCUCUGACCACGUGGUAUUACAUUUCCACCUGCCAGAAGAGCUGCUCCCGGGGCUGGAAAAAAAGCCAGCUAUUGUUGGGCUCCGGAAACACUCAGGGGAGCACCUGUGGGGAAGCCAGGCGAUGGAAUCUCAUGACGUCAUUUCCCCAUAUGUGCGCCUCGACUCACUUCCAGAAGCCUGCCGUAAGUUUUCAGUAAAACCACUGCCCCUUCAAAGCCUUUGAAGUCUGCAGUGUAUAUCCUGUCCCUUCAGGGAAAGAAAGCCAAAGAGUUAAAGAAUCACAGGGUGAUUAGAAGGAGCUUUCGUUGUUUUUUUUAAAAAGUGACAUAAAGUGGAGUGUUUAAGGCCCUGGUCUCUGGAGGCCACCUGCAGGUAAUGUAACUUAGCUGGUGACCUUGGGCGGUAUUCACCUGUAAAUGAGGAUUCUUAUUCUACUCACUUCCCAAGAAGCCUGUGAUUACAUUAGAUGGUCUUUGUAAGUCUGGAGUCCAAAGCACACACUGCUUUGUAAAGAUUAAGUGGCACAUUGUCAUCCUUGCCAUCCUCCACAUCAGUUCUACCAUCACAUUUUACAGGAGUUACAUGGAAAGUGGCUUGACCUGUGUCAGUGAGUGGGUCAGGGCUGGGCGCUACCUGUAAUAACUCCUUCUCCCCUUCUUUAAUGCCUGGUGACAGCUCCCGCUUUCCUCAGAUCACCUGGAAAAAGUGUGGAAGAAUAUUAAAAUAAAGCAGAAAGAUAAACUCACUCAGGUUCCCUGCAAAGACCACAUCUAGCUGUUUGAUCAGAAUCUCUGCUUUGAGACGAAAUGGAGUAAUGAACUUGGGAGAAGAAAGGGCUGCUGCUACUCACAGUUUCUUGAGGGUGUAAGUUCAUGGGGACACACAGUUUGUACAUUCAGGCCAUUCUCAUUUGUAAUCAAGAAAUUUAUCUGUACCUUCAGCCCCUUCUCCAAAAUUUCCUCCACCUCUUUGCCUUAAGUCAGUGGUUUUAAAAUCCACUUGCACUUUCAGAUGACCGGGGAGCUCUUCAGUAAUGCAAAUCCCCAAGCUCAAGAUUCUAAUUCAUCAGGAACGACGGGGACCUGGGCAUGGAUUGUAGCCUAAGUUAUCUUUGAAAGAUACGCAUAUGAUCACGUCAAGCCCUGCUUGAAACACUUCCGAGGCAUCCAUAGCAGGGAACAAAGUUCAUAUGAAGAUACAGUGAGAAGGCCAGAAGGCAUUCAUCUGCAAGCCAGGAAAAGAGCCCUCACCAGAAACCAAAUACUGUGAGAACUUGAUCCUGGAAUUCCCAGCCUCCAGAACUGUGAGAAAAUAAAUUUCUGUUGUCUAAGCCACACAGUCUGUAGUAUACUGUAAUAUACUGUUAUGGCAGCCUGAGCAGAUUAUUACAACAGGUGUCAAAGAGGACUUCAGCCUUAGCUGAAAUGUUAGAUGUAAUAUUUUAAUGUUUUAGAAUGAGAAUGUAUUUAUGUAUGACUUGUGUGAUUAGAACAUUAACUUUUUAAAGUCAACUUUCUCUUCCCUCUUCCCCCAUAACUGCCCUUUUUUCCUUUAUCUUCCUUUGAACAAUAUUAAUCAAGGCCUGUGGCAGACAUAUACAUUCUGAGCCUUCCAGCAACAUUUUUCAAGAAGACCUGUCUUCAGGUCAAGGUCCCUAAAAAUAAAUCUUCUCACCACAGAACUCAGGGGUGUGUUUAUUUAGUUUUGUUUAAUAAAAUAUUUAUUGAACUUUUAUUGAAGUUCAAUUAACCUUAUUCAUUAUAAGAUAAUAUUAUACUAACACUGUCAGAAAUUUAAAGACAAGACAAUUUCCUCAUCAAACCUCCACUCAAAACACAACCAUGAUUUCCAUUUUUAGGCAUUCCUUUCUAGGCUAUCUAUAUGUUUACCUUUUUUUUUUGGCAGUCAUCAAAUGGUUUAUAUAAUUUUGUACAUAUCUUUUUUCACAGCAUAAAACCUUUAUAAUUGCCAUUUUAAUUGCUACUCAACAUUUUAUUCAGUUUUAAUUGACUUAUCUAUUUCCGUGUGGUUGACAUCUAGGCUAUUUCCAACUUUUUAUUAUAGAUAAUGUUGAAUAAACAUUUUCACAUACAUGUAUUUUAAAAUUUGAGUUAUUUCUUUAAAAUAAAUUCUCAGUGGUAUUGACUAAACCACACGAUACAAGGAGAUUUUAUGACUAUUGAUCAAAAUUAUUCAAUAGAGUUCCAAAGCUUCGUGCCAAUUAAUGAUGCCACCAGCAAUGUUAAAAUAUACUGCAUUUUCAGAAUUGGUUAUACAAUGUCAAGGUUUUUGGCAAUGCAGAAACUUCAGAGGGGAAUGCCUCAGAUCAUCUAAGACUACUUGGUAAGCUGAUUGAAAACCAUAGAGUUACAUAAAAGGACAUGGAUUGUCUUUCCCAGCUCAGCAUCCAUCCCCUUUCUCUAGGAACAGCACCUUGAGGUCUUCCGCUCCCUCAAUCCAUGUGGUUUGACAGGACUCCAGUCCCACCCUCAAAUUUAAGAAUUCAUCAUGUGACCCAGGUUGGUCACGGGUCUCUCUUUCUCCCUCUCUCUUCCUCAAUUUAUCUCUCUCUCACACACACUCGGGGUAGGGGGUGGAUCCAAAAACAAACAAAGCAGAGCCAAGAGGUAAGAGUAAGUCCUGGUGACAGUGUUUGAGUCCCUUGAUCCAGCUGGCAAUGAUGCCAGACUACCCUGGGAUUUAGGGCCACUAUAUAGAGUUGAGUCAAUUGUGAACUGCAAAGCAUUCCCAGCCAAAGGGGUAAGUGGAUGCUGAAAUCUGUUGUGUGCAUCUGGGAGUAAGGGUGUAUCUAUUCAGAGAAAGAGACUUGUUUAUUGUUUUGUUUUGUUAUUUGUUUCAUUUUGUUUUGUUUUAUUUUUCAUUAAAGGUUCCCAUUGCUUGCCAAGCCAAAUGCUCACUCAGGAGCCCCUUUUUCUAUUCUCAGAAGGCGCUAUGCAGGCUGCCAAUAGCUUUGUAGUUAUGUGAAACAAUAAAUCUCCCCUCUUAACUGAA